GCGGAAGUGGCUCAGUUGGUAGAGCAUCACCUUGCCAAGGUGAGGGUCGCGGGUUCGAAUCCCGUCUUCCGCUC
rnacentral:tRNA from 3 species